rnacentral:lncRNA from 1 species
AAAAUCAUUCGAUCUUGACUAGCGCUACUGCACAAAAUCAUUCGAUCUCGAAUAGCAUUACUGCAUAACAAGUUACAGUGCAAGUAUGACCAUUCUGUCAAGCCAAUCAAGUGGACUGAUAGCCCAAAACAAACGUUUCAGCUUUCCCUCCAACCAUCAUGGCAACAUACAGAACCACUACUCGAGGCUAUUAAGAAAUAACACCUCUUUGAGUACCAUACAAAAUUGAGCGCUUAAUUUUCCAUUCACUAGCGUGGUGCUUCCAGCAAUUAAAAACAGUGAAACUGUUUUGCAAGAGGUCACAAUAAUAACAGGUCAUGGCCCUUUUUGUCCUCCCAAAGACGGGGAAUGGAAAAUGAUUUCUCUCCAGUGGAUCAUCAUAGUGCCAAAACAAAUAUUCCUGGACCUCAACGAGAUAGUAGUCUCAGCAGCUCCGAACUUCACUUAAACAAGCAUUCUGGUCCAUCACAAAAAUCAUUCACCCCAACAGACUGUCGGAUUUGAGAGACCUCGCACAAAGUUCAGACAGCUCGGUAUUCAAUAAACAAGCUCAACUUCUGGACCAACACAUCACGUGAACCAUAGAUAGGCUUCCUUCCUUCACUGAUCCAAUUCUUCUCCAAACUCGAAGCUUUUGCAUUUGCCCGCAUGUCAUCCAAGAAGGCUGAGACUAUCUGAUAAAUUGAAGUCCGGAAAACAUCAGCCAUUGAAUAAGCUUUUGUGUGCAGACCACCUCUUUGUGUGCUUGCAAUGGCAGUUGCAUUGCCUUUUCUUGCAGUGGAGAAGUUACCCCACCUAAUGCUUGCUGGACCCAGUGAGUGCGCAGGUUGUGGGUUAGUUUUCUUCCCUAAACAUGCUUCAACCGCAACUAGCGCAGACAGCAAAGUAGACAUCACAGCAGCAUUGCAGCCAGUGAGUUGAGCAACUCCAUACCGGUCCUCUUGUCGUGAGCGUGCAGUUAAUGUAGCCAAUGUCCGAGCACACCAUGAGCAUAUCUAAAUUAAACGGUCAUACAGAACAAUCUAUCAUUAGCCAUUAGUGCAUCAAGUAACAUUUCGACUAUUAUGAUUUAGCAAUGAUACACCAUCUGGCAUCUGGAACAUACAACAUUUCCAGGCCUUAAACAAUCUUGUGACAAAGCUAUUAAAGCUUACGCAUGUAAACAAUGGAGGUGAAAGAACGUACGGAGAUUAACAAAGUUUCUGAAUGAUAUCAAACCACAAGAAUCUGUCAUGAUGUUUAAGCUACAUUCACCACAAAUGCACAAUGGAAAUAAGCUAAAUCUUCAAAAUGUUAACUGAUUAUUUAUCAUUUGUGUUAGUCAUAAUAAAAACAUGGGCAUAAACCAUGUAGACCCUGAAUAUAAAUAAAUUCAUGCCGCUAUUAAACUGAACGCCAUGUUUCACAAAUUUAGGCUUCCAUACUGUCAGAACUCAUCACACAUAUCAGCUAAGCAGUCUCCAUUUUUCACUUCUAGCCUUGGUAUUGGGGUAUGUUUGGUUUCUGGCAAAAAUGUACCUUACCAAAACUUUGGUCAUUGUUUGGAUGGUUACAAACUUAUUGGCAUGCCAAUGGCUACUUACCCAACCCUACUUUAUUUUUUAGCUAAAGUUGGCCAACUCAUGGGCACAGAAAAAAAAAACUUGACCAAAAUUUUGUCUAGCCAAAUAUUUGGUGGGGUUGGUGGGGCCUUCUUCGGCUGGUGGAACAGGGCAAUCAAGUGAUUGGAUAAGGACCACUGAAAAGGCCUCAAUACCUUGAUCAUAUAGUAGCUUGGGAGAUUUUGAAACGCCGAAACGACUGUGUUUUCACCAAUGCUAGCCUAGGGCUUUUUUAGUAGUUCGGGUGGUAGAGGAGGGUGCCCUGUGGCGUACAGCUAGGGCCUGCGGCCUCCAGACCCUGUUCUAGGGUCAGUGUUCUGGUGCUUUGGUUGUAUCCUUUGUCCAAGCAUGGCUCGUAUGUAUCAGUUGGUCUAGAGUGUUUGGGUUUGGAGUGCGUUGUGUGUGUGGCAUUGUACUUUUAAUCCUCUCUCUUAUUAAUGAAAUGGCAUGCAGAUCUCCUGUGUCAUUUGCGAAGAAAAAUGGUGGGGCAAAUUUGGGCUCGAAACAAACACAUCCUUGGUAAUACAGAAUUGCUCCAAACGGAAUAGAGCUUCUGCUACAAUCUAUCCAUUGGUUCCAGGAAAAGCACGAUGCAGAAGUUAAUGGUGAGCUACUAUUUACUACUCCCUCCGUCCCAAAAUAAGUGUCUUUGAUUUAGUACAACUUUUAUACUUGCAUCAACCAGACCACAGGUCAACCAUGUACAUGUAAAAAACCAAUUUUGACAUCUCCACCGCAUGUGCCACAUUCCAUAAUCAAACCAACCAUCCCCAGAAAAGCAUGCCCCAUAGCUAAUAUUCAAAACUGUUGCACACGGUCCAUGUGCAUAUGGCAUACCUAUUAUGUCCUUUGCAAUCAAACACAGUGAUAGUUAAUGCUCCUAAGUAUCCAAUUACUUUAUACAAGAAGAAAUACAUUUGGUACUCCUAUAAAAGCUGUCAAUAAUAGCCUGUCAGCUCCAAAAGGCCUGAAUACUUGACAUUACCAACUUCCAAAUAAAAGGUCUGAGCAUUUCAAAUUAAGCUACUCCCUCCGAUCCAUAUUAACUGUCGCUGAUUUAGUAGAGGGAGAUUAAACCUUCCUGGGGGAGAUUACAUGUGGAUACUCGCAUACUCAUAUUCCAUAACAUAUCAAACAUAUAUGAUCAGCAGUUAUCAUGCAAAAUCUUCCGGGUCAUGUGAUGCUGUAUGCAAACCUUGAAUUCAUUAUGUGUGACUGUGACUAACCAAUCAUUAUGCAUGUAUGCUUGAAUUAUACCCAACUCAGAAUCUUUAAAGCAUGGCCUCUCCUUAUGCAACUCUAAACAAUUUUAUCACGGAUGUCAAACAAAAAAUGCAGGCACUAACUUAACAGUAGGUUCAAACAAUUUCCUGGAUGAUGGUUCUUAACGGGGAGCAAGUUCAUUAGUUACACAAGAAGUGACAGACAAGAUUAACAACUGGAAACACACUGAAGAACCUACAAUAUUAGUAAAUGAAAUGGCUAUAAAAUUACCUGUGAAUCACUAAAUGCACCAUAGAGCUUAGACUGUUGUAACAAUAGUUCUGGCUUUUCGCUAGUAAACCCUUCAAGUGCUUCAGCAAUUUUUGAAGUGAAGUCCUCAAGUGGCUUCAAACAGGCUGUCACAAUUCUUUUGUAAGUUUCACCAGAUUCCUCGAAGAAGGCACCUCGACGCCAAGGUUCGAUGUUACAUUCAGAUACUGCACACAAAUCUUGGAAUGCAAGAUAUUGCAACAGUGACCGUGGAUUACUUAGUUCCAAAGUCUCGAGGAUACAAUCAGUAGGAUUAGUCUCCGCAGCAGCAGAGCUCUGAGGUGGAGUAAAACUGCAUCUUCUUGUAUGCACAACCUGAAAUUUGUUGAAAACAGUUGUAUUGAAGUUCCACAAAAGUCAAGCUGCAGAGUACAUACGGCGGAAACAAGUGUGCAUCUAAAAGCAUGUUGUUUGAUUUGGAUUGCAGAGGAGAGAACAAACCUGGACAAAAUGAUGGCUUAUUUCCCAACAAAAGGAAACACAUGUGGUCACUAUAAAAAUAGCGAUUUGGGUGAUAAUUUGACUUCCAAUGGAUCCUCCCAUUCUGAAUUGCCGAGGAAGAAUAAGAAUCAGGACAAUUGAAACCAAGAAGACCUGAAGUGACAUCUUUAGAGCCCUUUUAAUAGAUGGUAGAAGCCCCAUCUUUAAUCCAUAGAACAUAGGUCUCUGGACAAUAAAACAAGUUAACAAAGUUAAAACCAAGCAACCACAUACUCAAGUGAGUGCUGGGAAGAACUGUAAGAUAACAAAUGAACAUGCAACUAAGCAAGCAAAUCUGAGAAUAUGAAGGGAUCAAAAUUAACUAAACUUAACUUUAAAAAUUACAACUUAUUGCCCUAAGUUCUGAUUAGUCACCAUCAUGUUCACACCUAAAUAAAAGAGAACAGUAGAGGCAAACUAUGUCUAUGAAUAAACAGUGAAGAAAAAAGAAGCUUCUGACUGAAUAUUUGACCAUAAAACAUGAUAUUCUCGGGAAAUUACACAGUGCUCCUAAUAGAACCAUCUAUUAUCUGAUUAUUAAAAUGUCUAACUUGAAUAAUAGAUGUGUGUCUAAUAAAUACCGAUCCAAAUACUGCAGAACGGAUAGUAGCCACCCCCUCCUCUAAUCAAACACCCUAGGGUAAAAUACCAAUAGUUCAAGCCACAGGUAAGAUAACAAGGUAAGAUAACAUCCCUCCUAUGAUUUAAGAACAAUAGUCAUUUGCAUAGCGAAUCGUUGCUGAGAAAUUAAUCUUAGUCGUGGUAAUAUGAACUCCAAGCCUGCGAAUUCGAACCCAAUCUGCAAUAUCAGGUGCAUCAAGCAGCAUAUGCACAAACCCUAGCUUUCCCCCACUCCACUCACCUGUACGACGGGGAACUGGAGCAACCACCUCCCACGGCCAAAGUAGUGAGCGGCGAACACCGCGCCCAACACAGCGCCGCGGAAUCCCAGCCCAGCGACGGCAGCCCAUCCGGCGUCCUCGGGGACCAGAGACGCGGCGGCGGCCACGCAGAGCGCACCGGCCGAAGCGAAGAGGGAGGCCGCGAGGGCGAGCUUAGGCACGGGCGGCGGGCCGGGGUGGGGCGAGGCGGAGAUGAGGAAGGCGAGCGCGAGGAGCCCCGUGGCGGCGCAGGAGAGGAGCGGGUGCAGCGCGAGGAGGAAGGCCGGGGGUACCCCGAGGCUAGGGUGGCGGCGGCUCGGGGAGACCGCGAGGUGGAUUACGGAGGCGGCGACCGAGAGCGCGGCCUGGAAGGCGAAGACAGCGAGCCACCGCUGGCCGACGGCAUCGCGAGGAGCGCCGGGCGGCGGGGCCCUGUCCAUGGCGGCGGUGGACGAGGGGUUUGGGAGGUUUAGAAUUUAUUUUUUCUCUCCCCUUUUCUUUGCGAGGGACUGAGGGUUUCUUCACGUCUGAAGGGAGAAGAGAAGGGGAACGAACGAAUGAACCCUGGUUUGAAUGCGCGUUUUUCUUUUCUUGUCUUCUUCCAGACCGGCGAGACCUUCGUCGGUCUAUUCGUACCAUCUCUACCACACCUUUUAAAUGAACCUAUAAAAUAACCAUCGAUCUACAGUUUUACAUUAAAAAAAUGAUUUGAAUAAAACCGUAUCGGACCGUGGUCAUUAAAAAAUUACGGGGCGCGGCAAUUUCUUCCCCUCAACCCUUAGAAACAUAGGACUCAAGGCCGACUCGAGAGUGACCCUUGUAGCUAGCGAGAUUUGACGAGAGGGGCAUUUCUGCUCGGCGGUUUCCGCUCUCAUUUCCGUCCACCACCAUUGUUCUUCCUCCGGCCGCUCCAGACCACCAUCCCCGGCUCUAUAGCACCACCAUGGAUGCCUCCUAGCCGACGCCCGACGUCGUGGAAGUCAUGGGCGUGCCAAUCCCUCAAACAGAUCUUGUCGCCGGCCAUGUCGCACCCAUCGCCGUUCAAGCCUCCACCGCCCAUCCCGCAAGCGCGAGGGCAACAUCGUCGUCCCGAGCGGUGCUCCCGCGUCCGUCGCCGAGAAGGCAAGCCCACCCGUCGUUGUCGUCGCUGUGAAUCCGACGCAGGCCAUCCCCACCCCGCCGGUGAAGAUGCACCGCCCAUCCCGAAAAGCGCCAGGGCAACAUCGUCGUCCCGAGCGGCACUCCCGCGUCCGUCGCCGGGAAGGCACGCCCACCCGUCGUCGCUGUUGCUGUGAAUCUGACACAGUCCAUCCCCACCCCGUCGGUAAAGACGCAUAAGGUGGCGGGGUGAAAUGCAAGAAGGCGUCCACAAAAGGUCAUGCGAGCACUGCGCCACCACCUCCUCCGAUCGCAACCCCAAGAGCUCCCCCGAGGACGCCCGCCAACGACGCUGUUGUCGCCCCCCCCCCCCCCCCCCNNNNNNNNNNNNNNNNNNNNNNNNNNNNNNNNNNNNNNNNNNNNNNNNNNNNNNNNNNNNNNNNNNNNNNNNNNNNNNNNNNNNNNNNNNNNNNNNNNNNNNNNNNNNNNNNNNNNNNNNNNNNNNNNNNNNNNNAUCUUUGAUUUUUCAUGUGGUUGUUUUUAUUUUUCGUCGUUGCGAUUGUAUGUGACUUGUGGAGCAAAAUUAUAGUGUCGAUUUGCAUGAUGCGACUGCCGAUUUUGUGCAUGAUGCGACUGCCACACGUUUGAGAUAGGUUUGAGAGGUUCGACUGUGGAUGCUCUGAUCCAGGCCAAAUGUAGGGCGGAUAUGAGGCGACACGACACUUUUGGGUGUGUCUGUCACAUGAUAGAUGAGUUCCACACGUAUAAACACCCAAAAACCCAACGAUCCAAUGAGUGUCUCCUCCGGUGAGGGUGUGAAUCCCGCGUAGCACCACUCCGGCUUGCUAUCCGAGGGCCAGAGUCCGACCAUUUAAAACGAAUAGCUUCCCCCAACCCUAUCCACAUCUGUUUUCUCCCUCUCCGCAUUCUCGGCCCAAUCUGUCAUCAACAUCCGCUUCCUCUCUCCUUCUCGUCGUCUGCCUCUGCUAUGGUCCGACAGAUGAAAACCACCUAUGUUAUGCUUACAUUGGAGCGGUGCCUUGAGAUGCUCAAGGAGAUCCAGACUAGGCACAUCCCCGGUUCACAGCGGGCCUGCCUCUGGAUUCACCGAAGCCGGUGAGGGAGGAGCAACAGUCGGGGCAGGAGUAGAAGCCCAUGGAGUAGGAGGAGGAGGAUGAGGCAAAUGUGGCAUAGCUGGAGCCAGUUACUGGCUUGGCCAUGGUGGAGUUCGAGGUCGCCCAAGCAGCAAAAUGACGAAGCAUACUACCAUCCUGGAGUCCAUCCAGGAUGAGGCCUAUGUCGAGAUCAACCGACGGUUCAUCAAGUAAGAACGGGCAGCGACCGACACGCUUUUCACCUAACUAGAGGCGGAGGAUGAUACUUGUGAUAUGCGUUGGGUUUUCCCCCGAAGAGGAGGGGGUGAUGCAGCACAAUAUACAUAAGUAUUUCCUUCAGUGAGAACCAAGAUUAUCAAACCAAUAGAAAGACCACGCAAUCUCCCAUCUUCAGCGCCUACACACAAAAGAGCAAACACUUGCAUCCAAUGCGGGCAAGAGGGUUGUCAAUCCCUUUGAACUCGUUACUUGCAAGUAAAUGAGUAGUGUAGAUGAUAGUUGAUAAUUGUAAAUUGCAAAAAAAAUGGCAGCAAGGCAUUAAGAGCGUUUGUAAAUAUAUUUGUGAAUAAACACGGGGGCCAUAGUUUUCGCUAGAGGCUUCUCUCUCAUAGUAGAAAGCGUACGGUGGGCAAACAAAUUAACGUUGGACAAUUAAUAGAAAAGCGCAUAGUUAUGCAAUAUUUAUUCAUGGCAAUAAUCAUUGCAUAUAGGCAUCAGGUCCGUCUCACUAGACCGACUCAUGCGUGCAUGUACUACUAUUACUCCACCCAUCGACCACUAUCCAGCAUGCAUCUAGAUUAUUAAGUAAAACAAAGUAAUGCUUGGAGAACAAUGGUAUGAGGUAGACAAAGCAAAUCCAAUUAAUAUGAAUCAAACCCAACGUUUUAUCCUUAGUGCCAACAAUAAAAAUAUGUGGCAUGUCCCUUUUUGUCACUCGGAUUGAGCACCGCAAGAUUGAACCUACUACAACACACCCCUCUCACUAAAGAUAGAUCAAUCUAGUUGGCCAAACCAAAUCAAUAGAUCGAGGGGAUUACGAAGCUAUCACAAUCAUAUAUAUAAGAAUUCACAGAAGAUUCAAAUAUAUUUUAUGAAUAAUAUGAAUAUAAAUCCACAAUUUUUCGGAUCCCAACAAACGCACCGCACAAAGUGAUUACAUAAGAUAGAUCACCGCAAGAAUAGCGGUGAUCUUGGCAAUGAAGAACAUGGAGAGAGAGAGAUAGCCAUCUAAGUACUAAUUAACGACCUAUAGGUUUGUGGUGAACUACUCACACAUCAUCAUGGGAGAAGCAAGGUUGAUGUAGAGGGCCUCAGUGAUUGACCUCUCUCUGACAGGGCACCGGAACAAGGCUCCAGAUGGGCACACGUCUGAACAGAGACUUGCGAUGGUGGAAAAAGUGUUUCGGGAUGCUCUCUAGGGUUUUGGGGAUUUAUUAAAAUUUAUGGGAUAGAGAGGGGCACCGGAGGCCAAGGGAGGUUGCCCCAAGUCAUGAGGGCGCAGCCACCCCCCAUGGCACGCUGUGUUGUCUUGGCGCCACCCCGUGGGGACUCUGUCCUGUUGGAGAACGUCGCAUGGGAAACACAAAAUUUCCUACGCUCACCAAGAUCAAUCUAUGGACACUACCAUCGAUGAGAGGGAGAGCGCAUCUACAUACCCUUGUAGAUCGCUAAGCGGAAGCGUAUAUAACGUGGUUAAUGUAGUCGAACGUCUUCGCGGUCCAAAUCACAAUCCGUUUCGUGAUCCCAUCACGAUCCGCCCCGUGAUCCAUCCUGAUCUAGUGUCGAAUGGACGACACCUCCGCGUUCAACACAUGUAUAGCUUGAUGACGUCACUGCCUCCUUGAUCCAGCCAGCGAGUGCGGAGUGGUAGAUGAGUUCCCCGUCAGCGCGACGGUGUGACGGUGGUGGUGGUGUAGCUGUCCCGGCAGGGCUUCGCAAAGCACUACUGGAAUAUCUAGAGGAGGAGACGUUCUAGAGGGAGAGGAAGAGGCUGCGUCGUGGCUUGUGUUGCUGCAACCCUUCCUCCCCUCACAUAUAUAUAGGAGGAGAGGAGGAGGGAGGCGCCCUAGGGUUUCUCCUAGGGAUGGGGCUGCGGCCAAGGGGGUGCCUUGGCCCACAAGGCAAGUGGGGCCCCUGCCCUCUUGGCCCAACCCUUGCCCUAGCCGCAUGGGCCUUAGGUGGGAGGGGAGGCCAACCCACUAGGGGCUGGUGCGUCCCCUCUCAUAGCCCAUGGAGCCCUCCGAGGCAGGUGGACCCUCCUAGUGGACUUCGGAACACUUUCGGCACUCCCGUCACAAAACCUGUAAGUCCCGGAACUUUUCGAAACUCGAAUACCAACUUCCCAUAUAUCAAUCUUUACCUCCGGACCAUUCGGGAGCUCCUCGUGACGUCCGGGAUCUCAUCCAGGACUCCGAACAACUUUCAGUUACCACCACACAAAAAUCAUUAAUAUCCAAUCAUCAUCGAACCUUAAGUAUGCAGACUCUGCGGGUUCGAGAACUAUGCAGACAUGACUGAGACACUCUCUGGUCACCAAUAAUGGGACCUAGAUGCCCAUAUUGGCUCCUACAUAUUAUACGAAGAUCUUUAUCGGUCGAACCAUGAUGUCAAGGAUUCAAUCAAUCCCGCAUACCAUUCCCUUUGUCCAUCUGUAUGUUACUUGCGCGAGAUUCGAUCGUCGGUAUCUCUAUACCUAGUUCAAUCUCGUAACCAACAAGUCUCUUUACUCAUUACGUAAUACAAGAUCCCGUGACUAACUCCUUAGUCACAUUGCUUGCAAGAUUCUUGUGAUGUUGUAUCACCGAGUGGGCCCAUAGAUACCUCUCCAUCAUACGGAGUGACAAAUCCCAGUAUCGAUUCAUGCCAACCCAACAGACACCCUCAGAAAUACCUAUAGAGCACCUUUAUAGUCCCCCAGUUAUGUUGCGACAUUUCAUACACACAAGGUACUCCUACGGUGUCAGUGAGUUGCAUGAUCUCAUGGUCAUAGGAACAGAUACUUGAUAUGCAGAAAACAAUAGCAAUAAACUGACACGAUCAUAUGCUAUGUUCAUAGUUUGGGUCUUGUCCAUCACGUCAUUCUCCUAAUGAUGUGAUCCCGUUAUCAAAUGACAACUCAUGUCUAUGGCUAGGAAACCUUAGUCAUCUUUGAUCAGCAAGCUAGUCUAGUAGAGGCUCACUAGGGACAUUGUGUUGUCUAUGUAUGCACACAUGUAUUUGAGUUCCCAAUCAAUACAAUUAUAGCAUGGAUAAUAAACGAUUAUCAUGAACAAGGAAAUAUGUCAAUAACUAAUUAUUAUUGCCUCUAGGGCAUAUUUCCAAUAGUCUCUCACUUGCACUGGAGUCAAUAAUCUAGUUCACAUCACCAUGUGAUUAACACCGAAUAAGUUCUGGGGUUUGAUCAUGUUUUACUUGUGAGAGAGGUUUUAGUCAACAGGUAUGUACUAUUCAAAUCCAUGCAUAUUUUACAAAUUUGUAUGUCCUACUGUAGAUGACGCUACCAUGCUCCACUUGGAACUAUUCCAAAUGACUGGUCCACUAUACGAAUCUGGUUUGCUACUUAAAGUCAUCCGGAUUGGUGUCAAAGAUUGCAUCGAUGUAACCCUUUAUGAGAACUCUUUUAUCACCUCCAUAAUCGAGAAACAUUUCCUUAGUCCUCAAAUUACUAAGGAUAAUUUUGACCGAUGUCCAGUGAUACAAUCCUGGAUCACCCUUGUACCCCUUGACAGACUCAUGGCAAGGCACACAUCAGAUGUGGUACUCACCAUGGCAUACUAUAGAGCCUACGACUAAGGCAUAGGAGAUGAAAUUCGUCCUUUCUCUUUCUUCUGUCGUGGUCGGGCUUUGAGUCUUACUCAAAUUCACACCUUACAAUACAUGCAAGAACUCCUUCUUUGACUUAUCCAUUUUGAACUCCUUCAAAAUGUUGUUAAGGUAUGUAUUCAUUGAAAAUUUUAUUAAGCAUAUUGAUCUAUCUCGAUAGAUCUUGAUGACCAAUGUUCAAGUAGCUUAAUUCAGGUUUUCUUUUGAAAAACACCUUUCAAACAACCCUAUAUGCUUUCCAGAAAUUCUACAUCAUUUUCGAUCAACAAUAUGUCAACCAGAUAUACUUAUCAUAAUUUCUAUAGUGAUCCCACUCACUUUCUUGUAAAUACAAGUUUCUCAUAAACUUUGUAUAAAUCCAAGAGCUUUGAUCAUCUCAUCAAAGUGUUCAUUCCAACUCCGAGAUGCUUGCUCCAGCCCAUAGAUGGAUCGCUGGAGCUUGCAUGCAUGCUAGCAUCCUUAGUAUCAACAAAACCUUCCGGUUGUAUCACAUACAACCUUUCCUCAAGGAAACUGUUAAGGAAACAAUGUUUUGACAUCCAUCUGCCAGAUUUCAUAAUUGAAAAAUGCAGCAACUGCUAACAUAAUUCCAACAGACUUUUAGCAUCGCUACGAGUGAGUAAGUCUCAUCAUAGUCAACUCCUUGAACUUGUCGAAAACCUCUUUGCGACAAGUUGAGCUUUCUGAAUUGUGACACUUACCAUCAUUGUUUGUCUUCAUUUUAAAGAUCCAUUAGUACUUAAUAGCCUUACGACCAUCAAGUAGUUCUUCGAAAGUCCACACUUUGUUUUCAUACAUGGAUCCUAUCUCAGAUUUCAUGGCCUCUACCCAUUCGUCGGAAUCCGAGCCCACCAUCGCUUCUUCAUAGCUUGUAGGUUCAUCAUUGUCCAACAACAUGACCUGCAAGAUAGGAUUACCGUACCACUCUAAAGAAGUACGUGUCCUUAUCGACCUACGAGGGUUGGUAGUAACUUGAUCCGAAGCUUCAUGAUCACCAUCAUCAGCUUCCACUUCAACUAGUGUAUGCGCCACAAGAACAACUUCAUGUGCCCUUCUACCCUCUGGUUGAAGUGACAGUUCAAAAACCUCAUCAAGUUCCACCAUCCUCCCAAUCAAUUCUUUCGAGAGAUAAUCUUUCUCGAGAAAGGACCCAUUUUCGACAACAAACACUUUGCUUUUGGAUCUCAGAUAGGAGGUAUACCCAACUAUUUCCUUUGGGUAUCCUAUGAAGAUGCAUGUAUCCGCUUUGGGUUCGAGCUUAUCAGGCUGAAGCCUUUUGACAUAAGCAUCAUAGCCCCAAAUUUUAAGAAAUGACAGCUUAGGUUUCUUGCCAAACCAUAAUUCAUACGGUGUCAUCUCAACGGAAUUAUAUGGUGCCCUAUCCAAAGUCAAUGUGCACUACAGGAAUCAGCUUCUUUGUCGUCUGCCAUCACAGACGGCAAAGACUAAAUCCCGGACGGCAAAGACAAAACAACAGACGGCAAAGAAUCUCACGGCCGGCAAAAUUUCUGCGUCAGCCUACGACGGCAUAGGACCUUCUUUGCCGUCUGUCCCCCCAAAGCGGACGACAAAGCUCUUUGCCGUCAGCUUUCCAUAGGAGCUGACGGCAAAGAGCUCGAGACGGCAGCCGACAGGUGUUGCCUCCGUUAGGGGUUAACGGAGGCUUUGCCGUCUGCCUCCUCCCUCUUUUUGCCGUCUGCCUCCCCCUCUUCUUCGCCGUCUGCCUCCUCCUCCCCCCCGUCCACUAUUUAUCGUCUGACUCCUCCUCCCCCCCUCCUCUGUGCCCUCUUCUUUGUCGUCUGCCCACCCAGAAAGCAGACGGCAAAGAGCCUAUAUAGACCACCCAGGAUGCACAGCUGGGUGCCUUGUGGCACCUUUGCCAUCAGCCAGCUGAUGGCACAGGUCUUUGCCAUCAACUAGCAGACGACAAAGAGCCCAUAUAGUACCUGAUUUUUUUGUUUUAUAUUAUUUCACAGCACACACACACACACACAUAUAUAUAUAUAUAUGUAUAUAUAUAUAUAUANNNNNNNNNNNNNNNNNNNNNNNNNNNNNNNNNNNNNNNNNNNNNNNNNNNNNNNNNNNNNNNNNNNNNNNNNNNNNNNNNNNNNNNNNNNNNNNNNNNNCAUGCUAUGUGGGUGGAAUGAUGAUACCAUGCCAACUUGGAACCUUUUUAGAGUUUAUUUCAAAUACUUUUAUAUUUCAUGGUCUUAUAGCUCAAAAUAAUCAGUAAAUGCAUGAAAAAUUACAAAUGAAGUCAGAAAGGGUUGUAAAUUGAUGAUGUGUCUUUGAAUGAUGCGUUUUGAACACACAAAAACUAUGUAGUUUAAAAAAAUGAAAUCCCUAUAUAACACACGAGUUUCCGUAUGAAACCUUGGUACUUCGAAAGAGAUUGUCCAUUUUGUACACGAUGUUCAUCCAGUUUUUGCCGUAACCCUCUCAACUUUCUCGCACAUGCUAUGUGGGUGAAAUGAUGAUACCAUGCCAACUUGGAACCUUUUCAUAGUUCAUUUCAAAUGCUUUUCAAUUUCAUGGUCUUAUAGCUCAAAAUAAUCAGUAAAUUCAUGAAAAUUUAUAAAUGAAGUCAGAAAGGGUUGUAAAUUGAUAAUGUGGCUUUGAAUGAUGCAUUUUGAACACACAAAAACUAUGUAGUUCAAAUAAGUUAAAAAAAAUGAAAUCCCUUUAUAACAGACGAGUUUCCAUAUGAAACCCUGAUACUUCGAAAGAGAUUGUNNNNNNNNNNNNNNNNNNNNNNNNNNNNNNNNNNNNNNNNNNNNNNNNNNNNNNNNNNNNNNNNNNNNNNNNNNNNNNNNNNNNNNNNNNNNNNNNNNNNUUCGAAGUAUGAGGGUUUCAUACGGAAACUCGUGUGUUACAAAGGGAUAUUUUUUUAACUUAUUUGAACUCCAUAGUUUUUCUGUGUUAAAAAUGCACCAUUCAAAGCCACGUCAUCAAUUUACGACCCUUUCUGACUUCAUUUGUUAUUUUUCAUGCAUUUACUGAUUAUUUUGAGCUAUAAGACCAUGAAAUUGAAAAUAUUUGAAAUGAACUCCGAAAAGGUUCAAAGUUGGCAUGGUAUCAUCAUUUCACCCACAUAGCAUCUGCAAGAAAGUUCAGAGGGUUACGGCAAAAACUGGAUGCACUUCGUGUACAAAAUGGACAAUCUCUUUCGAAGUAUCACGGUUUCAUACAAAAACUCGUCCGUUACAAAGGGAUUUGAUUUUUUUGAACUUAUUUGAACUCCAUAGUUUUUCUGUGUUCAAAAUGCACCAUUCAGCCACAUCAUCAAUUGUUACAACCCUUUCUGACUACAUUUUUUAUUUUUCAUGCUUUUACUGAUUAUUUUGAGCUAUAAGACCAUGAAAUUGAAAAUCUUUUGAAAUGAACUCUGAAAAGGUUCCAAGUUGGCAUGGUGUCAUCAUUUCACCCACAUAGCAUGUGCGAGAAAGUUGAGAGUGUUACGGCAAAAACUGGAUGCAUUUCGUGUACAAAACGGACAAUCUCUUUCGAAGUAUCACGGUUUCAUAAGGAAACUCGUCUGUUUCAAAGGGAUUGCAUUUUUUUGAACUUAUUUGAACUCCAUAGUUUUUCUGUGUUCAAAAUGCACCAUUCAGCCACACAUCAUCAAGUUACAACCCUUUCUGACUUCAUUUCUUAUUUUUCAUGCAUUUACUUAUUGUUUUGAGCUAUAAUACCAUGAAAUUGAAAAGCAUUAGAAAUGAACUUUGAAAAGGUUCCAAGUUGGCAUGGUAUCAUCAUUUCACCCACAUAGCANNNNNNNNNNNNNNNNNNNNNNNNNNNNNNNNNNNNNNNNNNNNNNNNNNNNNNNNNNNNNNNNNNNNNNNNNNNNNNNNNNNNNNNNNNNNNNNNNNNNUUCAUUACCGGAUUUCCCAAGACCAAGAAAGGAAAUAAUGCUAUCUUUGUGUUCAUUGACCGUCUCUCCAAAGUAGCUCAAUUUCUUCCAGUUCGUGAGAGUAUAACAGCUAGCCAGCUAGAAGAGUUAUAUAUCUCUCGACUAGUGUCUCUUCAUGGUGUUCCGCUGGAGAUUAACUCACACGGUGGGAGUAUCUUUACUUGUCGCUUCUGGGAAAGUUUUCAGAAUGCCAUGGGGACUCACUUAUCUUUUAGCACUGCUUUCCAUCCUCAAUCAAGUGCUCAAGUAGAAAGAGUGAAUCAAAUUCUAGAAGAUAUGCUCCGAGCUUGUGUUAUAUCGUUCGGUAUGAAUUGGGAGAAGUGCCUUCCAUUCGCCGAAUUUGCUUAUAACAAUAGUUAUCAAUCAAGCUUGGGCAAAGCUCCUUUUGAAGUUCUCUAUGGACGAAGAUGUCGAACACCUCUUAAUUGGUCAGAAACCGGAGAGAGGCAACUCUUUGGCCCGGAUAUGAUCCAGGAUGCAGAAGAGCAAGUUCGCAUUACUCGUGAAAACUUGAAAACAGCCCAGUCUCUUCAAUAGAGCCAAUAUGAUCGUCAUCAUAAGGUUGUGACCUUUGAAGUUGACGAGAAGGCUUACCUUCGGGUUACACCUUUGAAGGGUACCCAUCACUUCGGUAUCAAGGGCAAGUUGGCUCCUCGUUACAUUGGUCCUUUUCGCAUUCUUGCCACACGAGGAGAAGUUGCCUACCAGUUGGAACUUCCUCCUCAUCUUUCCAAGGUUCAUGAUGUCUUCCACGUCUCGCAACUCAGGCGUUGCUUUUCGGAUCCUAUCCGUGAAGUGGACCACGAAACGCUUNNNNNNNNNNNNNNNNNNNNNNNNNNNNNNNNNNNNNNNNNNNNNNNNNNNNNNNNNNNNNNNNNNNNNNNNNNNNNNNNNNNNNNNNNNNNNNNNNNNNCUGUACGAUCAGCUCGCUGGAUCCUCAGUCUUCUCCAAAAUGGAUUUGAGGUUGGGCUACCAUCAAAUCAAGAUCAAGAACGGGGACAUUCCAAAAACGGUUUUUGUUACUCGUUAUGGCCAAUACGAGUACACUGUCAUGUCCUUCGGUUUAACCAAUGCUCCAUCCACCUUCUCUCGUUUGAUGAAUUCAAUCUUCAUGGAGUAUUUGCAUAAAUUCAUCGUGGUAUACCUCGAUGAUAUUCUCAUCUACUAGAAGAACGAACAAGAACAUGCCGAGCAUCUAAGGCUGGUAUUGAUGAAACUUCGAGAGCAUCGCCUUUAUGCCGAGUUUUCAAAAUGUGAGUUUUGGUUACCAGAAGUGACCUAUCUAGGUCACGUAAUCUCUGGUAAGGGUAUUGCUGUCAAUCCCGAGAGAGUUCAAGCCGUCCUUGAUUGGACUCAACCUGAAUCGGUUAAGCAAGUUAGGUGUUUUCUUGGUUUAGCGAGCUAUUGUCGCCGCUUUGUCGAGAAUUUCUCCAAGGUUGCAAAGCCGCUAACUGAACUCCUCAAGAAGGAUAAAAAGUUCGAGUGGACACCACGGUGUGAGUAUAUUUUUUAGGAACUGAAAAGACGCCUGACUUCCGCACGUGUGUUGCUACCACUAGAUUUUUCUAAGGACUUUGUUAUCUAUUGCGACGCCUCGCGACAAGGAUUAGGUUGCAUUCUCAUGCAAGAUCGUCAUGUGAUUCCAUACACAUCUCGACAGUUGCGUCCACAUGAGGAUAAUUAUCCCACACAUGAUCUUGAGCUUGCAGAUGUGGUCCAUGCACUAAAAACCUGGCGACAUUACCUUCUGGGUAAUCGUUGUGAAAUAUUCAUUGAUCACCAAAGUCUGAAAUAUAUGUUCACCCAGCCGGAUUUGAAUCUCAGGCAAAGACGGUGGGUUGAGUUGAUCUCGGAUUACGACUUAGGGAUAACUUACACCCCGGGGAAGGCCAAUGUUAUGGUUGAUGCACUAAGUCGUAAGUCUUAUUGUAACAAUUUGAUGCUACAACUAGGUCAACCAGAUCUCUAUGAGGACUUUCGGAAGUUGAAUCUUCAUAUUGUUCCUCAAGGAUUCCUUUCUACCCUGGUGGCGAAGCCUACCCUUAAGGAUCAAAUUAUAGCUGGCCAGAAGCGUGACAAGGGUAUAUCACAGAUCAAGGAGAAUAUUAUUAGCGGAAACGCUAAGGAAUUUUCCAUGAAUGAUCAAGGGGUUGUGUUCUUCCAGAAUCGUCUAGUGGUUCCUAAAAACCUACAUCUAAGGCAGUUAAUCCUUUAGGAGGCUCAUGAUUCUCCUCUCACCAUUCAUCCCGGAAGUACUAAGAUGUAUCAGGACCUACGCCAGAGGUUCUGGUGGACUAGUAUGAAGAGAGAAAUUGCUGAGUUCGUUGCUAACUGCGAGGUUUGUCGUCAAGUGAAGGCAGAACAUCAAAGGCCUGCUGGAACCCUUCAACCUUUAGCUAUUCCUGAAUGGAAAUGGGAUAAAGUUAGCAUGGAUUUCAUUACCGGAUUUCCCAAGACCAAGAAAGGAAAUAAUGCUAUCUUUAUGGUCAUUGACCGUCUUUCCAAAGUGGCUCAUUUUCUUCCUGUUCGUGAGAGUAUAACAGCUAGCCAGCUAGUAGAGUUAUAUAUCUCUCGAAUAGUGUCUCUUCAUGGUGUUCCCCUAGAAAUUAACUCGGACCGUGGGAGUAUCUUUAUUUCUCGCUUCUGGGAAAGUUUUUAGAAUGCCAUGGGGACUCACCUAUCUUUUAGCACUGCUUUCUAUCCUCAAUCAAGUGGUCAAGUAGAAAGAGUGAAUCAUAUUCUAGAAGAUAUGCUCCGAGCUUGUGUUAUUUCGUUCGGUAUGAAUUGGGAGAAGUGCCUUCCAUUCGCCGAAUUCGCUUAUAACAAUAGUUAUCAAUCAAGCUUGGGCAAAGCCCCUUUUGAAGUUCUGUAUGGACGAAGAUGUCGAACCCCUCUUAAUUGGUCAGAAACCGGAGAGAGGCAACUCUUUGGCCCGGACAUGAUCCAGGAUGCAGAAGAGCAGGUUCGCAUUAUUCGUGAAAAGUUGAAAACAGCCCAGUCUCGUCAAAAGAGCCAAAAUGAUCGUCAUCAUAAGGCUGUGACCUUUGAAGUUGACGAGAAGGCUUACCUUCGGGUUACACCUUUGAAGGGUACCCAUCGUUUCGGUAUCAAGGGCAAGUUGGCUCCUCGUUACAUUGGACCUUUUCGCAUUCUUGCCAAACGAGGAGAAGUUGCCUACCAGUUGGAACUUCCUCCGCAUCUUUCCAAGGUUCAUGAUGUUUUCCACGUCUCGCAACUCAGGCGUUGCUUUUCGGAUCCUAUCCGUGAAGUGGACCACGAAACGCUUCAUCUACAAGAUAACCUUUCUUACCGAGAAUACCCCGUGCGUAUUCUUGAUCAAGCUGAGCGUACCACUCAACGUCGAAUCCUCAUGUUUCUUAAAGUUCAAUGGUCAAAUCAUUCUGAAAAGGAGGCAACUUGGGAAAGAGAGGAUCGUCUCCGACUCGAAUAUCCUGCGUUAUUCUCGACGACUUCUAAAUCUCGGGACGAGAUUCUUUUGAGUGGGGGUGAGUNNNNNNNNNNAACCCUUAAGCAAGAUAGCAUUGUGCUCAUGUAUUCUUUGCAUUUGCAUCUAAGAAGUUUCAACAAAAAGAACAAAGUGGCAAAGGAAAAACUCAAAACCGUAGCCACCAUUUCAAUUAAAGGAAAUUUCAAUUAGUUCAAAAUCAAUGAGCCCAAAAUGGCCUCAAGAAAUGUUCAAACUUUCUGAUAAAUCAUGAAAGUAAAUGAGCAUUGGAGAAAACUAUUUUUCUUGACACUUUAUGCAUUUUAAUAAAUGCAAAAGCUACUGGUUUCAAAUUGUAAAAAUUGAAAUCAGAAACUAUAAUUUUCCAAAAAUGUUGAAAACCUUGGAAAUGAGUGGGGAUAUUAUAACAAAUAUUUCAGGAGGUCUAAAAUAGUUUUUACUUUUUGUUUUGGAGCUGAAUUAAUUAUCAAUACAAUAAUUAGCAAAACAGAAAAACAAAAAGCAGAAGGAAAAGGAAAAGAGUUACCCGUCGCCUAAGCCUGGCCCGGCCCAUCUCCCCGCUCGUCCCCUCCCUCGCGCCAGUAGGCAGCAGGAGGUGGCCGCCGCCUCCUCCGGCGCGGCCACGCACCUGCGUGCCUGCCUGGCCGCCGGUUUGCGCUGGCGACGACGGGGAUAAGCUCCCCAGAGCUUCCCCUAUCCAUUCCCCGCCUCGGUUCUUCCCCUCCUCCCGGAUCCCCUCCUUCUCUCUGCUGCCGCCAUUAGAGCCGAGCUCGAGCUCGAGCUGCCCGUGCCCCUGGCCAUAGGAUCCCCUCCCAGAGCACGCCAUUAGCUCCGCCUCGUCGCCCUGGUCCUCUCUGCAGAAGCCGAAGCCUCCUCGAGCCCUGCAAUGCCCGCAACGCCGUCGUCUUCCUCCUCCGGCCGCCGGACCUCUCCCAUCGAUUCGUCGGCCCCAGGCCUUCCCCGAGCCGUCUAAGCUCUGCUCUGCACUCCCUGUGAGCAUGCGGUCGUUUCCCCUAAGUUUUCCCCCUCGAUCCCCUCCUCUAGCCCUAGUUUCACCGGAGCCCGACGAGGACCGCUACUGCCGCUCGUCGCCGGUAGCCUUCCGAUGUCCAGCUCGUCCUUCCGGGGGCACCAACAGCUCCAGGACGACGCGUAGAUGCCGUAGCAGCUAAGAACCGAGCGUAGAUCCCUCUGAUUCAAAGACCCCGAUGACGCCCGAGCCUUGGCCGCCGCCAAGCUCUUCGCCGGCGUCAUCUCCGGCCAGAUCAGCCCCGGCUAGUCGCAGAAAUGAAGAUGCGGAGACGUGUCGUUCCUCUGGUGCUCUCCGCGCAGCAUUUGGCCCCCUGUGCGCCGUUUUUGAGCCCCUCCGUCGUGCUGGUGGUCGCCGGAGGCUCCCCGCCGGCGAGGGCGACCUCGCCGCCGGUGGAGGUCGACGUGGCAAGCUAACCCAGCCGAUUAGUGACUUAAUCACUCACUGACAAGUGGGCCCAAGGCCAAGUCAAACCUCAGUUAGGGCUGGUCAGCGCGGGAUUAGUCCCAGAGAGGCUGACCAGUGGGGCCCUUCUGUCAGGUUUGACCUGAACAGGUCGGCUGACCUGCUAAUGUCAGCCUGAUGCAAUAAAUGGAAUUUCCAGUUUAAAACUAAUUCAGGAAAUUGCUAAAAAUUGCAAAAAUCAUAGAAAUUAAUCUGUAACUCCAAUGAAAAUAAAUUAUAUAUGAAAAGUAUCAGAAAAAUUCAAGGAUUCUGAUUAUGCUAUUUUCAACUAUGUUUGAAAAAGUUACAGGACCCUAAAUUGUGAAAUAAGGAAUAAUUCAAUUCUUUAAUCACUUUAUAAAUGGAAUUUGCAAAAUUAUCCAAAUUUCAUUAUAAAUGCAAUGAUCACACACUGCCCUAGAUAUAAAUCAGUACCAUAACAUGACAUUUCAUGCAUGUUAACAUUAGGUUGAUCUGAGCAUCAGGUCGAAUCAAUUAAACCGGUAUCCGAGAAUACCCGUUUGAAUUACUAUUCGAAUGUGAUUCAAAUCAACUCUAAACCUAAAACAUCUUGAUUAUAAUAACUUAUCACUUUGCAUUCUCAUGCCAUGCUCAUGCAUCAUUUUGUGUGCAUAUGAUUGUUAUUGAAUGUUGCCAUUCAUUUCGGUAGGCUCCGCACCCCCGGAUUCCACCGAAUAUCCGUCUGACGGAUAUCGUUCCUCCUCUGAGCAACAAGGCAAGCAACCCUUCUAAUCAUCCCGAUAACUCCUAUGUUCUUGCUCCUGCACCUAUUUAUUGCAUUAGGAUCAAAUGCUUCAACUGCUUUUGCCACGAUAGUUGGACCCACUUCCUUUGCAUGACUUAACCUUGUCAUAGUAAAUAGCCGAACCUUGCAACCUAGCAUACCUGGUAGUUGCUUGAGCCUUGAUGUGCCUUAUCCUGUUAUGCAUGCUAUGCUUAGAGUUGUGUAUGGUCUGUCAUCUGGGAGAUGAACAGAAAUGUGGAAUGUGUUCGGUGAGCAAAGGUCGUGUGUUGAACUUGAUUUGGUAAAGGUACCGGUGAAAGGCUGUGUAGGAGUACAUGGCGGGUUGUUUCAUUGGAACCGUCCUUAGGAACUGAGUUCCAUGUAUGUAAUCCAAGACUAGAUACUACCAC